rnacentral:rRNA from 1 species
AGAGUUUGAUCCUGGCUCAGAACGAACGCUGGCGGCAUGCCUAACACAUGCAAGUCGAACGAGACCUUCGGGUCUAGUGGCGCACGGGUGCGUAACGCGUGGGAACCUGCCUUAGGUUCGGAAUAACUCAGAGAAAUUUGAGCUAAUACCGGAUAAUGUCUUCGGACCAAAGAUUUAUCGCCUUUAGAUGGGCCCGCGUUGGAUUAGUUAGUUGGUGGGGUAAAGGCCUACCAAGGCGACGAUCCAUAGCUGGUCUGAGAGGAUGAUCAGCCACACUGGGACUGAGACACGGCCCAGACUCCUACGGGAGGCAGCAGUGGGGAAUAUUGGACAAUGGGCGAAAGCCUGAUCCAGCAAUGCCGCGUGAGUGAUGAAGGCCUUAGGGUUGUAAAGCUCUUUUACCCGAGAUGAUAAUGACAGUAUCGGGAGAAUAAGCUCCGGCUAACUCCGUG